ACGAACGCUGGCGGCAGGCUUAACACAUGCAAGUCGAACGCAUCCUUCGGGGUGAGUGGCAGACGGGUGAGUAACGCGUGGGAACAUGCCCUUCAGUUUGGAAUAACCCAGGGAAACUUGGGCUAAUACCGGAUACGCCCUUAGGGGGAAAGAUUUAUCGCUGAAGGAGUGGCCCGCGUCUGAUUAGCUAGUUGGUGAGGUAAUGGCUCACCAAGGCGACGAUCAGUAGCUGGUCUGAGAGGAUGAUCAGCCACAGUGGGACUGAGACACGGCCCAGACUCCUACGGGAGGCAGCAGUGGGGAAUAUUGGACAAUGGGCGCAAGCCUGAUCCAGCCAUGCCGCGUGAGUGAUGAAGGCCUUAGGGUUGUAAAGCUCUUUCGUCCGGGACGAUAAUGACGGUACCGGAAGAAGAAGCCCCGGCUAACUUCGU
rnacentral:rRNA from 1 species